GAUUUCUGGUGUGGUGCAGCAGGCCCGCAUACGGAUUCGUAUGUGAGUGCAGGCUUGGCCAGGCCAUCCUUCUAGCUCACUAUUCUCUCCUUCAUUGGCAGGGAGUAGUGUUAGUCUAGAUCUUUUACUUUGAAAAAAUUAGAGUGUUUAAAGCAGGCUUUUGCUAUGAAUACAUUAGCAUGGAAUAAUAAUCUAGGACUUCGGUUCUAUUUUGUUGGUUUCUAUAACUGAAGUAAUGAUUGAUAGGGAUAGUUGGGGGUGCUAGUAUUGGCCGGCCAGAGGUGAAAUUCUUGGAUUCGGUCAAGACUAACUUAUGCGAAAGCAUU
rnacentral:rRNA from 1 species